rnacentral:rRNA from 1 species
AACGAACGCUGGCGGCAUGCCUAACACAUGCAAGUCGAACGAGACCUUCGGGUUUAGUGGCGCACGGGUGCGUAACGCGUGGGAACCUGCCCUUAGGUUCGGAAUAACUCCCCGAAAGGGGUGCUAAUACCGGAUAAUGUCUUCGGACCAAAGAUUUAUCGCCUUUGGAUGGGCCCGCGUUGGAUUAGCUAGUUGGUAGGGUAAAAGCCUACCAAGGCGACGAUCCUUAGCUGGUCUGGGAGGAUGAUCAGCCACACUGGGACUGAGACACGGCCCAGACUCCUACGGGAGGCAGCAGUGGGGAAUAUUAGGCGAUGGGCGAAAGCCUGAUCCCGCAAUGCCGCGUGAGUGAUGCAGGCCUUAGGGUUGUAAAGCUCUUUUAGCCGGGAUGAUAAUGACGGUACCGGGAGAAUAAGCUCCGGCUAACUCCGUG